rnacentral:rRNA from 1 species
CACGCNGUAAACGAUGAAUACUAGGNGUAGGAGGUAUCGANUCUUUCUGUGCCGCAGUUAACACAAUAAGUAUUCCGCCUGGGGAGUACGAUCGCAAGAUUAAAANUCAAAGGAAUUGACGGGGGGCCCGCACAAGCAGCGGAGCAUGUGGUUUAAUUCGAAGCAACGCGAAGAACCUUACCUAGACUUGACAUCUCCUGAAUUACCCUUAANCGGGGAAGCCCUUCGGGGCAGGAAGACAGGUGGUGCAUGGUUGUCGUCAGCUCGUGUCGUGAGAUGUUGGGUUAAGUCCCGCAACGAGCGCAACCCUUAUCAUUAGUUGCUACCAUUAAGUUGAGCACUCUAGUGAGACUGCCACGGUUAACGUGGAGGAAGGUGGGGAUGACGUCAAAUCAUCAUGCCCCUUAUGUCUAGGGCUACACACGUGCUACAAUGGUGAAUACAAAUAGAUGCAAUACCGCGAGGUGGAGCCAAACUAUAAAAUUCAUCCCAGUUCGGAUUGUAGUCUGAAACUCGACUACAUGAAGCCGGAGUUGCUAGUAAUCGCGAAUCAGCAUGUCGCGGUGAAUACGUUCCCGGGCCUUGUACACACCGCCCGUCACACCAUGAGAGCUGGUAACACCCGAAGUCCGUGAGGUAACCGUAAGGAGCCAGCGGCCGAAGGUGGGAUUAGNGGUUGCCANGGNUUCAA